UUGCUCCUCGUUUAAACUAUUUUCCCCCUCUCGCUACUUUAUUUUUACUCUUACUCUUCUUUGCCAUUUUCCCUUAACUCUCUUAGUUUCUCCUUCACUCAACAAGAAUCAUCCAGGUUUUCUUCUUCACCUCACGAUGGGUUCACAUUUUUCCUUUUGUCGUGUUCACCAUUUUUAUGUUUCGUUUUCCUUUUUAUGAUUUAACCUUUGACAUUUCUUCUUUUACUCACUUCAGCUUACAUUUUCACAACAGUGUCGACGACAUUCUCAAGAUGUCCAGGCCACCAAUCUUGAUCAAGGAUUUGCAGAUAGGAAAUCAGGUCUGGAAAAUGUCAAUCAAGGUAGUCGAUUUAUGGAACGUGAAAGAGUAUAGUGGACAACUACAUAUGGAGAUGCAAAGGUUUGUGAGAACAAAUUGAAAUUGCUUUUCAACAGUGCGACAAUCGUUACUCAGACUGAACUACCUCAAAUUUCUACUCACCAUUUCAAUUUCAAGACUAUUGCUGAAAUUCUGAAUAAAAAUUUCUCCCAUGAUGACUUAUAUGUUGGAAAUAUAAUUGAUUGUACACUCUGGGACACAUAUGCUUGCCAACUUAUGAAUUUUGUCCGUCCAGACAAUGCGGUUGGUUCAAAUCCUCUAAUCAUUACACAUGCUUUGUGCAAACAAACACAUUUUCUUAUAAUAUUGUUCAUUCACAGUUACAUAUGUCUACCACAUAAAUUAUUAUUUAUUCAAUAUUAACCUUCUUAUAGGUUUAUACAACUAGGUGGAAAACCAAGUUUAUCCAAUACUUGGA